UACGUAGGUCCCGAGCGUUGUCCGGAUUUAUUGGGCGUAAAGCGAGCGCAGACGGUUACUUAAGCAGGAUGUGAAAUCCCCGGGCUCAMCCUGGGAACUGCGUUCUGAACUGGGUGACUAGAGUGUGUCAGAGGGAGGUAGAAUUCCACGUGUAGCAGUGAAAUGCGUAGAGAUGUGGAGGAAUACCGAUGGCGAAGGCAGCCUCCUGGGAUAACACUGACGUUCAUGCUCGAAAGCGUGGGUAGCAAACAGGAUUAGAUACCCUGGUAGUCCACGCCGUAAACGAUGAGUGCUAGGUGUUAGACCCUUUCCGGGGUUUAGUGCCGCAGCUAACGCAUUAAGCACUCCGCCUGGGGAGUACGACCGCAAGGUUGAAACUCAAAGGAAUUGACGGGGGCCCGCACAAGCAGUGGAGCAUGUGGUUUAAUUCGAAGCAACGCGAAGAACCUUACCAGGUCUUGACAUCC
rnacentral:rRNA from 1 species